CAGCCGCCACAGUAAAACGGAGGAUCCAAGCGUUAUCCGGAAUUAUUGGGUUUAAAGGGUCCGUAGGCGGUCUUGUAAGUCAGUGGUGAAAGCCCAUCGCUCAACGGUGGAACGGCCAUUGAUACUGCAGGACUUGAAUUAUUGGGAAGUAACUAGAAUAUGUAGUGUAGCGGUGAAAUGCUUAGAGAUUACAUGGAAUACCAAUUGCGAAGGCAGGUUACUACCAAUUGAUUGACGCUGAUGGACGAAAGCGUGGGUAGCGAACAGGAUUAGAUACCCGUGUAGUCCCUGUCUCUUAUAU
rnacentral:rRNA from 1 species